AGUGAACGCUGGCGGUAGGCCUAACACAUGCAAGUCGAACGGCAGCACAGUAAGAGCUUGCUCUUACGGGUGGCGAGUGGCGGACGGGUGAGGAAUACAUCGGAAUCUACUUUUUCGUGGGGGAUAACGUAGGGAAACUUACGCUAAUACCGCAUACGACCUACGGGUGAAAGCAGGGGAUCUUCGGACCUUGCGCGAUUGAAGGAGCCGAUGUCGGAUUAGCUAGUUGGAGGGGUAAAGGCCCACCAAGGCGACGAUCCGUAGCUGGUCUGAGAGGAUGAUCAGCCACACUGGAACUGAGACACGGUCCAGACUCCUACGGGAGGCAGCAGUGGGGAAUAUUGGACAAUGGGCGCAAGCCUGAUCCAGCCAUACCGCGUGGGUGAAGAAGGCCUUCGGGUUGUAAAGCCCUUUUGUUGGGAAAGAAAAGCAGCAGGUUAAUACCCCGCUGUUCUGACGGUACCCAAAGAAUAAGCACCGGCUAACUUCGUG
rnacentral:rRNA from 1 species